AUUGAACGCUGGCGGCAUGCCUUACACAUGCAAGUCGAACGGCAGCACGGGCUUCGGUCUGGUGGCGUGCGGCGAACGGGUGAGUAAAGUAUCGGAACGUACCUUUCAGUGGGGGAUAACGUAGCGAAAGUUACGCUAAUACCGCAUAUUCUGUGAGCAGGAAAGCAGGGGAUCGCAAGACCUUGCGCUGAUUGAGCGGCCGAUAUCAGAUUAGCUAGUUGGUGGGGUAAAGGCCUACCAAGGCGACGAUCUGUAGCGGGUCUGAGAGGAUGAUCCGCCACACUGGAACUGAGACACGGUCCAGACUCCUACGGGAGGCAGCAGUGGGGAAUUUUGGACAAUGGGGGCAACCCUGAUCCAGCCAUGCCGCGUGAGUGAGGAAGGCCUUCGGGUUGUAAAGCUCUUUCGGCCGGGAAGAAAUCGCAUGGGUUAAUACCCUGUGUGGAUGACGGUACCGGAAUAAGAAGCACCGGCUAACUACGUGCCAGCAGCCGCCGUAAUAC
rnacentral:rRNA from 1 species